rnacentral:rRNA from 1 species
AUUGAACGCUGGCGGCAUGCUUUACACAUGCAAGUCGAACGGUAACAGGCCGCAAGGUGCUGACGAGUGGCGAACGGGUGAGUAAUGCAUCGGAACGUGCCCAGUCGUGGGGGAUAACGCAGCGAAAGUUGCGCUAAUACCGCAUACGAUCUAUGGAUGAAAGCGGGGGACCGUAAGGCCUCGCGCGAUUGGAGCGGCCGAUGUCAGAUUAGGUAGUUGGUGGGGUAAAGGCUCACCAAGCCGACGAUCUGUAGCUGGUCUGAGAGGACGACCAGCCACACUGGGACUGAGACACGGCCCAGACUCCUACGGGAGGCAGCAGUGGGGAAUUUUGGACAAUGGGCGCAAGCCUGAUUCAGCAAUGCCGCGUGCAGGAAGAAGGCCUUCGGGUUGUAAACUGCUUUUGUACGGAACGAAACGGUCCUGGUUAAUACCCGGGGCUAAUGACGGUACCGUAAGAAUAAGCACCGGCUAACUACGUGCCAGCAGCCGCUGUAACAC